AUUGAACGCUGGCGGAAUGCUUUACACAUGCAAGUCGAACGGCAGCACGGACUUCGGUCUGGUGGCGAGUGGCGAACGGGUGAGUAAUGUAUCGGAACGUGCCCAGUCGUGGGGGAUAACGUAGUGAAAAUUACGCUAAUACCGCAUACGAUCUAUGGAUGAAAGCGGGGGAUCGCAAGACCUCGCGCGAUUGGAGCGGCCGAUAUCAGAGUAGGUAGUUGGUGGGGUAAAGGCCCACCAAGCCAACGAUCUGUAGCUGGUCUCAGAGGACGACCAGCCACACUGGAACUGAGACACGGUCCAGACUCCUACGGGAGGCAGCAGUGGGGAAUUUUGGACAAUGGGCGAAAGCCUGAUCCAGCCAUUCCGCGUGCAGGAUGAAGGCCCUCGGGUUGUAAACUGCUUUUGUACAGAACGAAAAGGUUUCUACUAAUACUAGGAGCUCAUGACGGUACUGUAAGAAUAAGCACCGGCUAACUACGUGCCAGCCGCCGCGGUAA
rnacentral:rRNA from 1 species